AAGUAUGGUUCGGCGUCUCGC
rnacentral:miRNA from 1 species